rnacentral:rRNA from 1 species
GAUGAACGCUGGCGGCGUGCUUAACACAUGCAAGUCGAGCGAGUGAGUUCUUCGGAACGAUCUAGCGGCGGACGGGUGAGUAACACGUGGGCAACCUGCCUCAUAGAAGGGAAUAGCCUCCCGAAAGGGAGAUUAAUACCGCAUAAAAUUAUCGAGUGGCAUCACAUGAUAAUCAAAGGAGUAAUCCGCUAUGAGAUGGGCCCGCGGCGCAUUAGCUAGUUGGUGAGGUAACGGCUCACCAAGGCGAAGAUGCGUAGCCGACCUGAGAGGGUGAUCGGCCACAUUGGGACUGAGACACGGCCCAGACUCCUACGGGAGGCAGCAGUGGGGAAUAUUGCACAAUGGGGGAAACCCUGAUGCAGCAACGCCGCGUGAGUGAUGAAGGUCUUCGGAUUGUAAAGCUCUGUCUUCGGGGACGAUAAUGACAGUACCCAAGGAGGGAGCCACGGCUAACUACGUGCCAGCAGCCGCAGUAA